CGCGAGGGCGUGGGGAAAGUCGCGGGAGCAAAUUUGGGGCCGGGCUCAGCAGCAGUAGCGCCUGGCUUCUAACCUGGGCAGUGGAGGCGGGGAAGGAGCCAGAGGAAAGGGGAGGCGUAUGGGAUGGGGGUGGGUGGCGGGAGUUGGAAGCAAAUGACAUCACAGCAGGUCAGAGAAAAAGGGGUGAGCGGCAGGCGCGGGAGGAGUAGGGCGUUUGGCAUCAGGAGCGGGAGCCCAGACUGCCCUGCAGGGACCCGAGAGACCAUGCAGAAGUCGCCUCUAGAAAAGGCCAGCGUCGUCUCCAAACUUUUUUUCAGCUGGAUAAGACCAAUUCUGAAGAAAGGAUACAGAAAGCGCUUGGAGUUGUCAGAUAUAUACCAAAUCCCUUCUGCUGAUUCUGCUGACAACCUAUCUGAAAAGUUGGAAAGAGAAUGGGAUAGAGAGCUGGUUUCAAAGAAAAAUCCAAAACUUAUUAAUGCCCUUCGGCGAUGCUUUCUCUGGAGAUUUACGUUUUAUGGAAUCCUCCUAUAUUUAGGGGUAAGAAUCUCCCUUGUAA
rnacentral:lncRNA from 1 species